GUAACACACAAAAAGUCACAAAAUAAGGCUGAAUAAAGGAAAAUUUAUUGAUAUGAGUCUCUCAUAUGGAUUUAAUAUCCUCGCAAGGACACCAGGAGUCAGCUAUACUCUUGUGCUUGUAUGAUGGACAUGCCAGAGCUGCCUUGACCAAUCAUUGAAGUAGGUGUCAAAUGACUCAGAGAGUUCACUACAUUAGAAUAGAUUUAUUGUUUUUGCUUUGAUUUUCUGAUACCCAUUUUCUGAUAUGAAUUUCUGUUACUAAGUUUAGUUAACUAAUACCAGUGUCCCAAGAGCACUGUCUACAUUUCAGUUAUGAAGAUAUAUUAACUGUGAGUAAUUGCAUAAAAUACAAACUUUGCUCUCUCUUCAGUGGAUAAAGCACUAUAUAAAUGACAGAUGCACAUCCUAACCAGUGACCAAUUGUGUCACUUUUUAAAAAAUCUUUAGGUAAUUAGCCAAUGCAUAUCUGUUAUUAAGUUCACACACAGAUGGCAAAUGUAUAGUUGUGUCAUCUCCUUGUCUCCCAGUGAUAAAGCCAUAUGACAUUUUACAAAAAUGGAUACUUGAAAGAGGGAACCGCCUGCCAAAUAUGAAAGUACAGCAAGGAAACAAAAAGCAUAAUGUUUGAAGUGAAAUUCUAAUCAAAUGUAAAUGGGCUUAUAGAAUAAAUAGUUGACUGUGGGAAUGUUGACACCUCUGCUAUUUAUGAGAGUCUAGACGUGCAGUCAGAGAAACUUAGCAAAGGCAACUGUAUCAGUCUAAAUGAGAAAAGUGGUCAUGAUGGAAAGGUUAAAGAGAAAACGAUGCCAGUGAGAAAUUUCACAUUUAAGAGAACUCUCAGAGAUAAUUCAACGCAUUAAAAGUAGAAAGGAUAAAAUGCUGGAAUCUGAUUCAAACUUAGAAAGUACUAUGAAAAUGUGCCAAGGCAUACAAAAGAUGCUCACUUUAUAUUGUAUGUGAUAGGAGAGGAAGAAGGCCAGCACUGUUCAAACUACUCUUGAUAAGUUUUUUUUUCUUAACAAAGAAAUAAAAAACUUCAAUCAUCAAUGCUUUUACUAGAUAGGCACUUAGUGAGAGUAUUAUUUUAUCUGUUUAAGCAAAAUAAUCAAGAGCAGGUGAUCCAAACGUUGAUGUCAGCUGCCAACAACAACAAACAGAUGAAGUCAUGAUCCUUUAUUCACUUUCCAGAAAUGAGGCAGUUCUCAGACUCAGCAUUGAUUGAAGAGAAAGAUGGGCAGUCUUGAGGAAGCAGUUUGCAGUGCCUCAGCAAGCACAGACAGUAGUAAUUUCCCCAUUUUUUCCCAGAGCCACUUACCAGAGUAAUAAUGCAGUGGUGAAAGGGGAAUACUAUGUAUUUCCAGGGCUGUUGGAUAAGGGUCUGAAAUGCCAUUGGUAUGUUUUGAGAGAGGGAGUUUCUGGUGUUUGAUUCUGUUAUAGGUUGAAUUGUGUCUCCUAUAAAAAGAAAUGUUGGUGUCUUAACCCUAAAUACCUUAGCGUGUGACCUUAUUUGGAGACAGGGUCUCUACAGAGGUAAUCAAGUUAAAAUACAGUCAUUUGUGUGGGCUUUAAUCCUAUAUGACUUGUGUCGUUAUAAAAAGGGGAAAUUUGGACACAGAGACAGAUACUUAUAGAGGAAAAAUGAUGUAAAGAGACCCAGAAAGAAGAUGCCAUCUGCAAGCCAAGAAGAGAGGCCUGGAACAAAUCCCUCAUAGUCCUGGGAAGGAACCAACCCUGUCAAUGCCUUGAUUUCAGACUUCUAACUUCCAGAACCAUGGGACAAUGAGUUUCUAGUGUCAUAGCCACCCAGUGUGUGGUGCUGUGUUAUGGCAGCCAUAUCAAACUGAUACAAAGCCAUAAAUGGAGUCCUGGCCUAAGUCCAUCUCACAGUGAGUUCAAAGGCUGCUGUGGUCAUGUACUCAUUCCCUGAGUCCCUACUCAUGAUGAACAUAUUUAGCAGAGUCAGAACCUUCAGACUGGUUAAUUGAUCUGGAGAGUCAGAGCUGCUACUGGAGGAAAGACUGCAUGGAAGCCCUUGAAAUAUCCUGCUGCCUUUCCAACAAAAACAGAAAAUCAGAAGCAAGACUGCAUCUCAGGUGGAAUGGCAGCAAUAAGAGAUACCCUCAAAGAAGGAUUCAGGGGUGGUUGUCACUAUCGUCAUUACUCUUACUUCUGGAAAAAAGCCAGAUGGAUUGGAACAGAAAAUGUAAACUUCUGAAAACUUAGCCAAGUUUCCAGCUGCUCUUUUGGAUGUACAUUUACCAGAACAGAUCAACACAGUCUCUUGCACUUGGUGUACAGAAAAUGAUCUGGAGAAAGUGUUCUUUUCAUUCUUUGCCAGAAAAAUUUAUCAGAAGCAAUCUUCAUUCAUUCGGAAGAGACAAAAGUAUGCUGAGUUAUAUUAACUCUCUUGCUCUUCAUCACUAUAUAGUAAAAAGGUAACUUGAAUAUCUAAACAUUCUACAGAAAAUUCAUACUGGUCUACCAUUUAGAUGACAUCCACAUUAAAUGGACCAGGAGAAGGAAGUCUUGAGUCCUCUGGAUGCCUUGGUAAGACACAUACACCAAAGGGUGAGAGAGAAAUGCUACAGAGAAUCAGAGGCCUCCCACAUUGGUGAAAGUUUUAGAAGUAUUGUGGUCUUGGUCCCCACCAAGCUAGAAAAGCUAUUGUACCUUCUGUUUUCUACCACUGAGGAAAAUGCAAGGUACUGGAAAGGCUGGUUGAUUAGAGAUCUGGAAGAAGUAAGAUGAGAAGAUCAAUUACAAGAAAUCUGUGAAAGAAAAAUGUGGGUUGACUAUUAGGAAUGGACACAAAGUAUGUGAGUCUUUGCAUCCCACAUCAGUACUUACGGUGAUCAUCCACAUCAGAGAAGGAGUAGAAGACAAGACGGGUAGGAUGAUUUGUCCAGUGGAGUUUAGCAAGCUUUUCUUCUUGGCCAUCCCAGUGUUUGCACAGUGGGCCCAUGAGUGGAGUAGCCUUGUGCAAGGAGUGAAGGUGAUGCAUGAGCCUGGCAGCGGAGGCUCCCUCUCACCAGGGCUGAUCUAGGCACUGCUACUGCAGAAUGGCCAAACUGUCAGUGGUAAAAACUGAUGCUGAGCCCUUGAUAGGAUGCUGUCCUCUGAAGACACCAACCUGGAGGUGACAGUCAUUUGUCCUUACUGGAUUGAUACAUAUUUUGGUUAUAAGUCUACCUUCCCUGGUUGAGUGUUGUGGCUCAUGCCUGUAAUCCCAACACUUUUGGGAGGCCAAUUUGGGAGGAUUGCUUGAGGCAAGGAAUUCUAGAACAGUCUGGGAAACAGUAAGACCCUGUCUCUACAAAGAAACAAACAAACUGGGUGUGGUGGUGAGUAACUGCAGUCCCACUUGGGAGGCUGAGGUGGGAGGACUGCUUGGAGCCAUGGCUCUCUAGCCUGGAUGACAGAGCAAGACCCAGUCUUAAAAAAAAAAAAAGAAACAAGAAAGUCUACCUUCCUUGCCAUAGCACCUUGUUCUGUGCCAUUAUCUGAGGGAUCAGCCCAUGUCUGAUUUGUGGUUGUAUCUCACAUAGCUUCACCUUGGGUCAAGGGACCACAUUUGUGCCAAGGAGUAAGCACAUGUCCAUGAAAUCCACUUGUCUUACUAUAUCACCCAGAAAUUGCUGGCUUGAAUGUUUAAAAGGCCACUGAGAGGUCAAGCAAAGGCAUCAGCCUGGAGUUGCUGGGUGCUAUCUUUAAAGAUGUGGUAUAUACCUUGAAUUAACAUAUACUGCUAUGUCUUCCUUAGGUAGAACAAAUGCAUGUAGGAUCCAACGCAUGGUAGUGUAAGUUGCCUUUACAUCAUUACUCUGUAACCCACUCUGGGGGAAGGUGUGCUUUCCAUUCCCACAACUUUAAGCUUUGGUCUCGAGGUCUAGGUUCCCAAGGGACAAAUUAAUUGUUUCUGUAAAUAUAAGAUUAUAGCAGUAGCCUGGUCAUUUU
rnacentral:lncRNA from 10 species